CUGUGUUCUUAACUACUUCUUAAUGAACAUUGACGAGAAACCUGAUACAGGAGGUUUGUAAGAAAUCCUGAAGGAAAAAAAUCCAUUUUAGCUGGGAUUUUCUCUGGGUAGUAUGGGAGUUUUUUCUUUCGAAUUCUUCUAUAUAUAUUUCCAGUUUCUCUGCUGAGAUUUUUCCUUUGGUAAUGACAAAAGCGAGUCUUUUAAAAUACCGUCUAAGAUGAGAAAGGAAAGCAUUUUCUUUCUUUUGUAGGACCCUUAUCCUACCAGUCAUCUCCUGGAGGAUUUGGGAUCCUAACUUAAAAAUUAUUCUUGGUGGUUCACCUGUAAUAUUGUUGAUUCACCACAGAAAUAACCAAUAAGACCGAGCCUUAAGAAAUGCCCCCAAUUCGAGGGUUGGAGGAGGAGCCAGGAGAGGAGGUGGGUGGAGAAUCCGCAAAGCAUCAGAAGCCAAGGAGAAAACUUCGAUGGGGAAAGGUCGACAUCAAAGUCGAGCCAGUGGGAGAGCAGACAGCUUUGAGAGACUCUUAGUGGCGUUUGCCUCAGUCAUUGUUUGUGUUCUUUGUGCCGGGCCCAUGGCGAUGUGGGGAGAACAGGACGGAAGUUUGGAUGGUACUUCAGGGUUUAUGGUAAUUCCCUAUGGUAAAGAUACGCAGAGGGCUUGCAGGGAAGGUUUCCUGGGGCAAGGGGGUGGAGUUCAGUCAAGAGGCACAGCUUGAACCAGCGGUAGGUAGUGCACUGAAAAAGCCCAAGUAAGUCAUCCGUUAUUGUCCGGGCAGAAAGCAGGAGGCAGGAAUGAUAAUGGUCAGAGAUGAUGCUUAAGAAAUAGCUUGGGGGCAGUGAUGCUUAAAACCUUUUUUUCCUUUGUGGCACACUGAAGGUAGGACAUGAUUUCACCUUUAACAGUUACUCAUCCUGAAGGUUGUGGAUUAAAUUCCUUUUGUUAGAGUUUCGAAGGGAUUUAAUGGAUCAAAGAAUUUGUUUAUGAUUGGACAUGCUUAUUGCUAAAUUGUUUUUUUUUGUUGUUGAAGAAUGCCAUUGUUACUACAAUUUUUAAAGUUUCUCUACUGGCAUGCUAGCGUUUCUAAGUAAAAAUACCCCCAAAUAUGUCCUCUGUAGUUUUUUAAAAAUAAAGUAUCACCAAAGAUGAAUUCUUUAUUUUCACUUGUCAAAUUUUCUGAACUGGUAACUUUAAGGUGUUGAUUGUUUAGUUGUAUAUCUCAUUGCUUUUCAAACUCAGUGUGCAGUAGAAUGUAUGGAGGUGUAGUUUAAAAAAUGCAGACUGAUUCAGAUGCCCGAGUAGGGCCUCAGCACUUGUGUGUUCCCGAGGGAAAGCUGCUGCGGCUGCUGCCAUUUCAAGGACCACAUGUGAGGCAGCACAAGUGAAGCGAUCUGAGUGUGUGGGCGGGUGCAAGGCCGAAGUGUGCUGCUGUAUGCCCAGAUUGUUACAGAAUGUGCUAAGGAGUUUUCUGUUAACCUCACAUUUAAAGUUCUCUUUUCCAUAGCAUCAGUUAUUUCAAACUUCUUUUCAACAUGUUAAGAAUACUGGAACUUUCAGUGCUAUUAACACCCCAUAAUAUUUCUUCCUUCAUAUUCCUUACAACUCCUCUAUCUAGCACAGAGCCUUCUGUGUAGGAAGUGUUCAACAAACAUGAAUGAAAAGGUUCUGACAGCAAUUUGAAAUCCCAAAAUGUAGGAGACUCUCCUAAGGGAGAAGUCAAGUAAUUGCAGAAAGCCCAAGAACAAAGUCAUUUGCGUAACACUUUUUUUAUUCCUCAGUUUCAGGAGCCACAUGGUCUGAUAAGGCAGACCCUCCUGACUUUCUCAUCUCUCAUGGUUACUCAGGACUAAGCUGGAAGAGUCUUCUCACCUCCUAGAAUAAACAUUCUGAACAAUGCUGCUGGCUCCACAGUGAAUUAGAGGGAAAAAAAGUAGACUUCUAAACCUGGCUUCUUACUUGUGUCAUGAAGGUGAUGGCGCAGAUGUUGGCUGCUCCGCGUAUCCUGAUUAUUGUUCCUGUGCUUUCUAAGGAAACCCAGUUGCCUAGUUGACAUCUCCAUUUGGAAAUCUCAAAAGAACCUCAGAAACUCAAAUGGCACACCGCCUAAACGGAUCCUUGUGGCCCAUCAUGGAACCUGCAUUUUAUUAUCAAAGUUGAGUCAAAGGCAUACUUGUCCUUAAGUAAACAAGAGAUAAGGUAAUCCUAGCAUAUAAUGCUGUAAUAGCAAAACUCUCACCUUCUUUGUCCUUAGAAGCUUGUGGUCCCUAAAUUCAGUUAACUGGGCCCGAAGUGUCAGAUCACUAUUGACCAGGAAUGCCUCUCGACACUGUUGGUAAAAAUCUUGAAAAGAAAAUCCUAGAGAGUUCAAAAGGAGAUGUGAACAUAAGUCAGCAUUUAAGACAUGACCCUACAUGUGGGUGCCCAUACCAAAGAACACAAGCUGUUGCCAUAGUAUGUCAGAACAGUCAGUACUGAUUAAAAAAAAAAAGGUACCUCUGGAAGAAGCGAAACUAGAGAACACUUAAGUAUUAUACGCUGUGGCUUACAUUUUAAAGGGAACUGACUGGUUGAAAGCAGUCAUCUGUGACCAAGUGAAACAAAUGUUGUGGGCAGCUUUCAGCAGCAUGAAUAGAGCUGACUUUCGAAGAAGGAACGAGUAAGUCAAGAGAGCUGCACGAUUAUUAAAAUAUUUGUCUAAAUUAACACAUUUUUACCUAAGGGGAAGAAAAGCUGCUAAGAUGCCCAGCAUAUGAAGUGUAUGUGAUUGGUAGACACAUAUCCACAGUUACCAUAGGAAAUGUAAACCAGGCCAGACGUGUCUGUCGGUGUGCACUGGCAAACAGCGUCUCUGCAGGGCUUCUUGAAAACGUGCCACGUGGCAGACAAACUGAUCCCGGAGCAAACCAUGUACCUGCCCCUGUGAAACGCUGCAGCGCUAUUACUAGAUUCCAGAAAAGGAAUUUAUGGGCUGAAACAAAAAGUCACACACAAUCUAAUAUCAUAAAUACCAAGGUAAGAAGGGUUAUCCUGGUUAUCCAGCUGAUACUUUAUCAGUAGCCUGAAAAUCCCCCUAAGGAGAAAAACAAAACAGGAAUUCAAAUCCAGAACGUUAACAUCAAAAGAUAACAGUAAAAUAGACAAAGAUAAUGUAAAAUACUUGGUUUAAAUCGUAUGUAUUUUCUUCUGUUCCUUUCUCCGGGAAACAUCCUAUCCUGGCCUUUCCUUUUAAGGAAAAUCUAGGAGUUUUUUUUUAAGGCUACAGGUUGUUCAAGUUAGAAAAUGUGGAAUAUAUAAUAAAAUGUACAGAGGAAAAUAUUAAUGCCAUAACCCUAACAUAACAGCCACUAACAUUUGAUGUGGAGAUCAUUUCUGUGUGCUGCCUUUACAAAUCUUUGUCAGUGACGCAAGGUGGAAACAAAUUCAUGCAUUUAUAUAUAGUAUACACCAUUUUACAUCUCACCUUUUCACUUACUCAUCUUCCCAUAUCAUUAAAAAGUCUUCCUAGAAAUGACUGCCCACCUAUCAUGUACCACAAACUUACCACUGCCCUACUCAUUUUGGAUGUUUAUAUUACUUCCAAUUUUGUUAAAAAUACCUCCACACUAAAUUGUACAUAUUCUUUCAUAUCAAUUUCUACAGAAGUAUAUAAAGUGGAUUAUAGGGCUGAAAGCAUGUCACCCACACUAAGAUUUCCAGGAGUCCUUUGGUGUGGCAAAAACUUUAAACCUUUACAUUUACAUUUUUUAGACAAUCUAAAAAAUAAGCACUAUAAGCUUAUUUGGAUCAUCUGAAUGGCCACAUUAUAACUAGAUACUGCCAGUGACUCCACAGCUAAAAGUUGGUUAAAGUUUUUGAUCACAUUCAUACCAAAUAAAGACUAAACAAUAUUGGAGUUCACAGAAUGAAACAAAAUUGCAGUUA